AUUUGUCAACGAUACCGCUGUAGAUGAAGUGACCCCAACUAAGUAAGCCAGAGGUGACAGCGGCAAGGAACCGAAACUCCAUCGGUGACAGAAUGGAGAAAAAAACCUUGGGAGAAACCAGGCUCAGUUGGGGUCAGUUCUCCUCUGACCAGACGAAACCAGGCUGCAGCAAAGUCAGAUUGUGCAGAAGAAUCAUCUGUUUCCUGUGGUCUUGUCCUGGUGCUCCUCUGAGACAAGGUCUUUACAGGGGAUCUGUAUCUGGGGCUCUAGUUGUCCUGGUCUCCGCUGUCUUUCGGGGCAGUAGAGGUCCUUUCUAGGUGCUGAUCCACCAUCUGGUCUGGAUACGUACUGGAUCCGGGUGACUGCAGUGACCCUCUGAUCUGGAUACAGACUGGAUCUGGUGGCUACGGUGACCUCGGAACAAGAGAGAAACAGACAAAUAUUAGAGUAUAUGCCAUUCUUCUAAUGAUGUAGC